ACCUGCUGUGCUAUGGGUCCAGCCCAAAACUGGAACAAUACAGAGAAGAUUAACAUGGCCCCCUGCACAAGGAUGACACACAAAUUCAUGAACUACUCCAUACUUUU